CUGGUUCGGACUUAACACAUGCAAGUCGAACGCCCCGCAAGGGGAGUGGAACGAACGGGUGAGUAACGCGUGGGAACGUGCCUUUUGGUUCGGAACAACUCAGGGAAACUUGAGCUAAUACCGGUGAAGCCCCGAGGGGGAAAGAAGCAUCGCCAAAAGAUCUUACCGCGUCAGAUUAGCUAGCCAAUGGGGUAAUGGCCUACCAAGGCGACGAUCUGUAGGUUCUCUGAGAGGAUGAUCACCCACACUGGGACUGAGACACGGCCCAGACUCCUACGGGAGGCAGCAGUGGGGAAUAUUGCUAAAUGGGCGAAAGCCUGAUCCAGCCAUGCCGCAGUAUGAAGAAGGCCCUAGGGUUGUAAAGUCCUUUCGUUGGUGAAGAUAAUGACGGUAACCAAAGAAGAAGCCCCGGCUAAUUUCACUGAGCAGCCGCGGUAAUACGAAAGGGUGACUAGCGUUGUUCGGAAUUACUGGGCGUAAAAUGGCCGUAGGCGGCCUUGUAAGUUGG
rnacentral:rRNA from 1 species